UACGUAGGGGGCAAGCGUUGUCCGGAUUUAUUGGGCGUAAAGCGCGUGUAGGCGGCCAGGUAGGUCCGUUGUGAAAACUCGAGGCUCAACCUCGAGACGUCGGCGGAAACCAUCUGGCUAGAGUCCGGAAGAGGAGAAUGGAAUUCCCGGUGUAGCGGUGAAAUGCGCAGAUAUCGGGAAGAACACCCGUGGCGAAGGCGGUUCUCUGGGACGGUACUGACGCUGAGACGCGAAAGCGUGGGGAGCGAACAGG
rnacentral:rRNA from 1 species